CAUGAUUGCACGUUCAUCCUUCUUCUCUGUGAGUGCGAAAGGCUACUGAUUUUGAAGGAUUCACACUGCAAGCACAUUCGUCCAGCGCGCUCUACCCCUCACACUCAACCACAAUCACAAUCACCUUCUAGGUUGAACACUCUUCUCAGUAAAGGGAUCAGGGUUUACCGAGAUUGAAGUUGAAAGAAGCGUUAAACAUCAGGUCCAUUUCUGAGGUGAUUUGGAGCUUGUGUGGGGUUUGUUUGGGUCCUUUCCAAUCCUUCUUCAACUGGCUGAGCUAGAGGUAUUGGAGGAAGUUGAACUUGAGCUUUUGGAAAGGUUAUUCUUAUUUUAUGAUUACUUCUUAUGAAGUUUAGUUUAGUCCUCAUUAGUGAACACAAAAAAACAGAUACAUUAUGAUCAAUGAUAUAACAACGAAAUUAUCACAACAAAAGCUAAUUUGAGUCACAUUUGAGUAUGC
rnacentral:sRNA from 1 species